GAUGAACGCUGGCGGCGUGCCUAAUACAUGCAAGUCGAGCGAACGGACGAGAAGCUUGCUUUUCUGAUGUUAGCGGCGGAAGGGUGAGUAACACGUGGAUAACCUACCUAUAAGACUGGGAUAACUUCGGGAAACCGGAGCUAAUACCGGAUAAUAUUUUGAACCGCAUGGUUCAAAAGUGAAAGACGGUCUUGCUGUCACUUAUAGAUGGAUCCGCGCUGCAUUAGCUAGUUGGUAAGGUAACGGCUUACCAAGGCAACGAUGCAUAGCCGACCUGAGAGGCUGAUCGGCCACACUGGAACUGAGACACGGUCCAGACUCCUACGGGAGGCAGCAGUAGGGAAUCUUCCGCAAUGGGCGAAAGCCUGACGGAGCAACGCCGCGUGAGUGAUGAAGGUCUUCGGAUCGUAAAACUCUGUUAUUAGGGAAGAACAUAUGUAUAAGUAACUGUGCACAGCUUGACGGUACCGAAUCAGAAAGCCACGGCUAACUACGUG
rnacentral:rRNA from 1 species